UCCUAAAGAGUGUUUCCUUUAUCAUGUUAAUGAUUCUACAUCAUUGCCUCUCCCUAUUUGCUCCAGCAAUUUCAGAAAAACUUGCUUAAAACCAGCAUUUAAAAAACCUGGAAAUAGAUCAAGAUAAGCUAGAAUUCAAAAAACAAAGCCCAAUUUGUGUGUGGAGUGCUUCCAAGGAUCUCGAAUGGACUCCGGGCAUUAACAUCUUUUCUGGAAUUCAAACAUUAUAACUGGAAGCCUGGAGGUUUUGCUCUCCAUCUCUUGCUUAUGUUCCACAGACAUGGUUCUCCUUGUUAAUACUCUGAAACGUUGAAGAUUUCUAGCCCUUUGGCCUCAGUGACCCACCCCCCACCCCCAAAUCCCAAGCCCUUUCUCGAGUCUGCAUCCUACAGGGCAAGCUCAAACAUGUUCUCAAAGAACAAUUCUUGCAGAAGACUCUCAGUGGCCAGCUCUCUCUCUCUUCCUCAACUAGUGAGUCAACAAAGCAAGAUCAGGUUUGUUCAGCAUCAUGAAGGACCGAGGACAGGGCAGCACCAUUGGGAUAGCCACCCGCUCCAGGUUCACCUGCAGGGAAAGAAAGAAGGAGUCUCAAGAUCAAAGGACAGCUCAGACAUUUUCACAACCCAACCAUCAGAAGAGAGGGCUUCCCUAAGGAGACGUUGAACUGGUUCGGGCACAUCCCUAGUUUACGGUCAUGUGAAGUACCCUAUAUAGUGCCUUGUGUGUGCAUGUGCAUGCAUGAGAGAGUGGGGAGGACUAGUGCAGCCCUCAAGAGCCUUUGUGGGACACUUACUCAGGAAGAGGAAAAUCCCAGCAAUUGCAACUGCCAGUAAAACAGCUCCGACUGCAGCCACCACCAUGGGAACCAAAAAGGCCUUUGGCUCUGAAAUGAAAAGAAGAAGAAAAGGACCCAGACGUCAAGGAAGUGCCAGCGUUUUGCCAUCAUGGAGACUGGUCCUGCCCCACCGUUAUUAGCAUCCUUUCUCCCUACUUCUCUAAAAGCCUCUCUGCCAUUUUCAUUCAUUUCCAAAUGUUCAUAAAGAUCCCAUUAUUCCACAUGGACAUUUUGCGACUCAUGCAUACCAUCAGAGGUUGCCCACAAGAUGGGAUUUGUGGUGCUGAGGAAGCUGAAGGUUCUCACACACUGAAAAUAGUUCAGAUCCCAUGAUGCACUGCAAACUUGACCAAAUACACACAGGCAGUACCAAUUCAUGCACCGAAUUGGUAGUGCCUGUGUGUAUUUGAUCAGCUUGCAUUGCAUCAUGGGAGAUGUAGUGUUUUCAACAUAUGUCUGUUUAUAAGAGAUGAAUAUUUGGAGGGGAACAAUGGGAUGAACAAAUACACACAGGCGAUACCUGUGAGCACCAAGUUGGCAUCAGUAUUGAGUUGGUGUGAACUGAGUUGUUAUCGUCUGUGUGCAUUUGUUCAGAUCUGUAGUGCAUCAUGGGAUCUGUAAUGUUUUCAAAUGUAUGUUAAUCUACAAGAGAAGGUUUGGAAUAAAUGUUUGGAGAGAAACAAUGGGA